UACGGAGGGAGCAAGCGUUAAUCGGAAUUACUGGGCGUAAAGCGUGCGCAGGCGGCUAUUUAAGCUUGCUGUGAAAGCCCCGGGCUUAACCUGGGAACUGCAGUGAGGACUGGAUGGCUGGAGUGUGGCAGAGGGGGGUGGAAUUCCACGUGUAGCAGUGAAAUGCGUAGAGAUGUGGAGGAACACCGAUGGCGAAGGCAGCCCCCUGGGCUAACACUGACGCUCAGGCACGAAAGCGUGGGGAGCAAACAGG
rnacentral:rRNA from 1 species